UAAAAAGCUUCAAACUGGGAUUAGAUACCCCACUAUGCCCAGCCUCAAACUAUGACUCAAUACAAAACACUUCCGCCCGGGAACUACGAGCUACAGCUUAAAACCCAAAGGACUUGGCGGUGCCCCACCCACCUAGAGGAGCCUGUUCUAUAAUCGAUAACCCCCGCUUAACCUCACCACUUCUUGCCAAUACCGCCUAUAUACCACCGUCGCCAGCCCACCCCGUGAGGGAAUAAGUAGGCACAAUGAUCACCACCAAAACGUCAGGUCAAGGUGUAGCGUAUGAAGUGGAAAGAAAUGGGCUACAUUCUCUAAUCUAGAGCACACGAAAAAUCAUAAGAAAUUAGAUUGGAAGGAGGAUUUAGUAGUAAAAAGAAACAAUAGUGUUCUUUUUAAAUUGGCCCUGGGGCGCGCACACACCGCCCGUCACCCUCUGCAGUCAAAA
rnacentral:rRNA from 1 species